CACGCCGUAAACGAUGCAUACUAGGUGUCGGGGAGCAAAGCUUUCCGGUGCCGCCGCAAACGCAGUAAGUAUGCCACCUGGGGAGUACGUUCGCAAGAAUGAAACUCAAAGGAAUUGACG
rnacentral:rRNA from 1 species